rnacentral:tRNA from 1 species
GGGAGUAUAGCUCAGUUGGUAGAGUGCUUGCCUUGCAUGCACAAGGCCCUGGGUUCAAUCCCCAGUACCA